rnacentral:rRNA from 1 species
UACGUAGGGACCAAGCGUUGUCCGGAAUCAUUGGGCGUAAAGAGCGUGUAGGCGCCUGUUAAGUCUUGCGUGAAAUCUCGGGGCUCAACCCCGAGCGGUCGUGAGAAACUGGCGGGCUAGAGUGCGGGAGAGGAGAGUGGAAUUCCUGGUGUAGCGGUGAAAUGCGUAGAUAUUGGGAGGAACACCAGUGGCGAAGGCGGCUCACUGGACCGGUUCUGACGCUGAUGCGCGAAAGCGUGGGGAGCAAACGGG